CACGUAGGGGGCGAGCGUUGUCCGGAAUCAUUGGGCGUAAAGAGCUCGUAGGCGGCUCGGUAAGUCGGGUGUGAAACCCCCAGGCUCAACCUGGGGACGCCACCCGAUACUGCUGUGGCUAGAGUCCAGUAGGGGAGUGUGGAAUUCCCGGUGUAGCGGUGAAAUGCGCAGAUAUCGGGAGGAACACCAGCGGCGAAGGCGGCACUCUGGGCUGGAACUGACGCUGAGGAGCGAAAGCGUGGGUAGCAAACAGG
rnacentral:rRNA from 2 species